GACGAACGCUGGCGGCGUGCUUAACACAUGCAAGUCGAACGGAAGGGCCCUGCUUUUGUGGGUUGCUCGAGGGGCGAACGGGUGAGUACCACGUGAGUAACCUGCCCUUGACUUUGGGUUACCUUCAGGAAACUGGGCCUAAUACCGGAUAGGAGCUCCUGCUGCAUGGUGGGGGUGGGAAAGUUUCGGCGGUUGGGGAUGGACUCGCGGCUUAUCAGCUUGUUGGUGGGGUAGUGGCUUACCAAGGCUUUGACGGGUAGCCGGCCUGAGAGGGUGACCGGCCACAUUGGGACUGAGAUACGGCCCAGACUCCUACGGGAGGCAGCAGUGGGGAAUAUUGCACAAUGGGCGGAAGCCUGAUGCAGCAACGCCGCGUGCGGGAUGACGGCCUUCGGGUUGUAAACCGCUUUCGCCUGUGACGAAGCGUGAGUGACGGUAAUGGGUAAAGAAGCACCGGCUAACUACGUG
rnacentral:rRNA from 1 species